GGAGUGAAGUGAUCAGUUAAGCCAUGUCUAUAGUUUCCAGACUACGCAAAUGAGGCUUUUACUUAAUUGAAUUGAACUUCUCAUGGCAUUCGGAGGCUGAACUCUAUCCUCCAGCGCAAGAGUUCACAACAGCAGUAGCUGAGCUGCAGCCUGAUUUAUACUUCUGGAAUGGAGGCCGUGAGACCAUCAGGCUUUCAAUUCAAUCUAUUCCAGUUUGUAAUGAUUUCCCUAAAAGGAGCCAGUUUUUGGUAUGCAGCAGGUAAGUAGUCAUUUUUCUUAGUUAUUUUAAAGGUGUGUAGUAUUGAGAAUGUACAAGUGGUUCC
rnacentral:lncRNA from 1 species